CGAACGAGAAGCGGGACUUCGGUUCCGUGGAAAGUGGCAGACGGGUGAGUAACGCGUGGGAACGUGCCCUUUGGUACGGAACAACUCCGGGAAACUGGAGCUAAUACCGUAUACGCCCUCCGGGGGAAAGAUUUAUCGCCGAAGGAUCGGCCCGCGUCGGAUUAGCUUGUUGGUGGGGUAAAAGCCUACCAAGGCGACGAUCCGUAGCUGGUCUGAGAGGAUGAUCAGCCACACUGGGACUGAGACACGGCCCAG
rnacentral:rRNA from 1 species